AGAGAGAAUGUGACUAAUUUCACUUCUCUGUUCUCUGAUAUCAAUGGUUCUCUAUUGGCAUAGACAACUACCAUUAUGAGCUUGUACAGAAUACACAUAAUAGAAAUACUCCUUUGACUGAUCUGAUUGAUUAUAUAGCAUCUUAUAGCAUAUAGCAUGAAAAAUGACUCACCUAACAUGUACUGACUUUCUAAUUAUUGAACAUACAAUGCACUAUACUGCAUUUGCACGCUCUCUGCUAACGUCUUUCAUUUUCACGUUCUCUGCUAAAGUCUUUUAUUUGCACGCUCUCUGCUAGUCUUUCUAAAAGUUGGUCAACAAUAUAACAUAGACUCUAAUACAAUUUGCAGUUGCAAGUUUACCAAAUAUUUCUUAAGUUUAGAAUGGGAGUACACCACAUAUAAAUUCCUUAACCUGAUUUUGAGAAAUGGAGGAAAUUGAAAAUGUUUUCGAACAGCAGUCAAUAUGCACAAAUGUCUUGCUGUGUAGUACAUGGUUACAACUUAGUUGGGCGCAAUGAUUGGCAGCACGAGAGACAGCGAGAGACAGCCAAACCAAAGAUUUGUAUAACUAACCCAAGAUAGACCAGAGCCUGUCGUUUCCAAUGGAAGCAAAUUAAUCAUGGCGUGCAAAACAAGCAAGGAGGUGGGCAGAGCCAGUGAGCUAGUGAGAUCCUAUUGGCGCGUUCUAGCAUUUAUUUGCAUUUUUCCGCUAGGGAACGCCUACUCUGAAUUGCGCGUGUGUGAUAACUCAAUUCGCCCUUGCACUCCUUCUAAACAAUGCAUUUUUUUUUUUACUUUGGCAAAGUCUACACAACGCAGUCAACUGUGUGUUUUACAGAUUUUAGUUUUGGAAACAGAAAACUGUAUGGAGAUCAAAUGUUUAAUCGAUGAGUAAAUUUGCAGAAUGUCGCCAAAAUCCAUCUCACUCCAUCUUCUCCCACUUUUGGCCACUACAAUUGCUCUCAUCACCAUAUUUGGUAGUGAGCGGAAACAGCAACCGGAUGCUUCAUAUUUAUACAUCCGGUGAAAUUUCUGGCUCAUUGUUCUAUCUGUGGCCAAGGGAUACCACAGAGAGCGCACUUGGUUCGUGCCCGUUCUUCGCUUCUUGUUGUUGUGAGCUUGGUAAAUUAAGGGACUACGAUGAAACUGAUAUUUCUAUUGGAAUACUAACAACAGUCGCUGCUGGUAAUACUGGGGUGGUGGUAAACACACCGGGAACAGUGUAUUGAUGUCUCCAAACACGGCAUGAGGCUUUCGGUGGAAUACCGCUGAACUCAGACGGAUGGACUACUCACACCCCUCCACCGGACCUGUCCUCAUCUAUCCCCAGCUAUGGAACCUCACAAACUGGCUGCCAUACAGUCUUGAUGUCGGUACGGAUGUCAGUUUGCCAUUCUGGUAUUCGGUCGCUGUGUCUUCCAGAGGCAGGUGAUGAGUCAGUUCGUCUCCAGCUCUGUAUGGACCCCGUCUCAUGUUACUGGACACUAGCGGAACAACAGGUCCGAGUGUGUCCAUUGCAGAGUUUGACCUGAGGUCGCUACACUGAGGUGAAGUGGCAAGAUGCCACGAGCUGAGUUUGGCCAUGCCCCCUCAUGACCACAUCAGCUUCAACUUCCACUGCCAGCAGGAGGCACAGGAGUGGGCCACCGUGGUGAUGUCAUCACUCAGAGAGGCACAUAGGGGUCAGGCACCACCUACAGUGGCAAGAAAAAUGGCAGCCAGCCCUCCCACCGAGGACAAACAGCUGCCUCUGGAGGCCUUAGAUGUCCAGCUCCAGUGCCUUCCCACGCACAGGUAGCCCUACACAAUAUGGUUGCAUUAUGGGCAAUUCCACAUGAACGGAAUUAAGCUGAGAAUCAGAUUUUUCACUUUAAAAUGUAUGCCAAACAAAAACCUAUGAUUGCAAAGUUAAACUAUACAACUCUAUAUGAUGGAACAAAAAGCACUGCCCGUCAUUCUGUUACCAAACUUUGCAUCUGUACUGUUCUUCAAGUAAAUGCGUCUUUGUAACAUUUUCUGUGGAAAUUGUUAAAAGCAGUCCUUGUACAUAUUGUAUAGUUUGUUUGACUUUUCAGUCAUUGGUUUUCGUUUGGCAUACAUUUUAAAGUGAAAAAUCGGAGUGUAAGCAUACUUUCAAAUUGCCCUUGUGCUUCAUGUGAAUACUUAAUAGCGGUUGUGUGUACAGUAGUGGAUAGGCCUAG